AUUGAACGCUGGCGGCAUGCUUUACACAUGCAAGUCGAACGGUAACAGGGAGCUUGCUCCGCUGACGAGUGGCGAACGGGUGAGUAAUGCAUCGGAACGUACCCAGUCGUGGGGGAUAACGUAGCGAAAGUUACGCUAAUACCGCAUACGUCCUGAGGGAGAAAGCGGGGGACCGAAAGGCCUCGCGCGAUUGGAGCGGCCGAUGUCGGAUUAGCUAGUUGGUGGGGUAAAGGCCUACCAAGGCGACGAUCCGUAGCGGGUCUGAGAGGAUGAUCCGCCACACUGGGACUGAGACACGGCCCAGACUCCUACGGGAGGCAGCAGUGGGGAAUUUUGGACAAUGGGGGCAACCCUGAUCCAGCAACGCCGCGUGAAUGAAGAAGGCCUCGGUUGUAAGUUACUUUUGUUCUGGGGCGAAGUCUGUGUGGUGAUAGCCAUGUAGGAUGAGAGUACCAGAAGAAUAAGACACCGGCUAACCUACGUGCCAGCAGCCGCG
rnacentral:rRNA from 1 species